rnacentral:lncRNA from 1 species
AUGCAGAAACAGUUAUUCCUACCAUAUUCUGUUCUAGUCAUUUCUGAAGCUAAACACUUCAAGGAAAAAAAUAAAAUAAAAACAUGUUUUUGUGCAAGGCUAUAUGUCAGUGCUGGCUGGUCUGUUCUGUUCUUACAUUUUCCUGACAAGGAAUUCUCAGUUCUUCUCUCAAGAAGCCUAAUUCUCAUAAGGAAUCAAAAGCAUGCCACAUUUCAUGUUUCACCGUUACUUCAUGAAGAAGAACUCCAUGCCACUGUAGUGAGGAUUCUAUGAUGUGUAACCACAGUGCUGCACUUCAGGUACUGACAUCAGGAGCAGA